rnacentral:rRNA from 1 species
GUGGGGAAUAUUGCACAAUGGAGGAAACUCUGAUGCAGCAACGCCGCGUGGAGGAUGACGCAUUUCGGUGUGUAAACUCCUUUUAUAAGGGAAGAUAAUGACGGUACCUUAUGAAUAAGCACCGGCUAACUCCGUGCCAGCAGCCGCGGUAAUACGGAGGGUGCAAGCGUUACUCGGAAUCACUGGGCGGAAAGGAUGCGUAGGCUGUAAUAUAAGUCAGAAGUGAAAUCCAACGGCUUAACCGUUGAACUGCUUUUGAAACUGUUUGACUAGAAUAUGGGAGAGGUAGAUGGAAUUGGUGGUGUAGGGGUAAAAUCCGUAGAUAUCACCAGGAAUACCGAUUGCGAAGGCGAUCUACUGGAACAUUAUUGACGCUGAGGCAUGAAAGCGUGGGGAGCAAACAGGAUUAGAUACCCUUGUAGUCC